GCCCGGGUGGUGGAAUUGGUAGACACAAGGGACUUAAAAUCCCUCGAAGGCGACUUCGUGCCGGUUCAAGUCCGGCCCCGGGUACCA
rnacentral:tRNA from 3 species